rnacentral:rRNA from 1 species
CCUACGGGCGGCAGCAGUGGGGAAUAUUGCACAAUGGGCGCAAGCCUGAUGCAGCCAUGCCGCGUGUGUGAAGAAGGCCUUCGGGUUGUAAAGCACUUUCAGCGGGGAGGAAGGCGGUGAGGUUAAUAACCUCAUCGAUUGACGUUACCCGCAGAAGAAGCACCGGCUAACUCCGUGCCAGCAGCCGCGGUAAUACGGAGGGUGCAAGCGUUAAUCGGAAUUACUGGGCGUAAAGCGCACGCAGGCGGUCUGUCAAGUCGGAUGUGAAAUCCCCGGGCUCAACCUGGGAACUGCAUUCGAAAGUGGCAGGCUAGAGUCUUGUGGAGGGGUGUAGAAUUCCAGGUGUAGCGGUGAAAUGCGUAGAGAUCUGGAGGAAUACCGGUGGCGAAGGCGGCCCCCUGGACAAAGACUGACGCUCAGGUGCGAAAGCGUGGGGAGCAAACAGGAUUAGAUAGCGCUGUAGUG